rnacentral:rRNA from 1 species
AGUUGCGAAGGCGGCUCUCUGGACUGUAACUGACGCUGAGGCACGAAAGCGUGGGGAGCAAACAGGAUUAGAUACCCUGGUAGUCCACGCUGUAAACGAUGAGUACUAGGUGUCGGGGGUUACCCCCUUCGGUGCCGCAGCUAACGCAUUAAGUACUCCGCCUGGGAAGUACGCUCGCAAGAGUGAAACGCAAAGGAAUUGACGGGGACCCGCACAAGUAGCGGAGCAUGUGGUUUAAUUCGAAGCAACGCGAAGAACCUUACCUAAGCUUGACAUCCCAAUGACAUCUCCUUAAUCGGAGAGUUCCCUUCGGGGACAUUGGUGACAGGUGGUGCAUGGUUGUCGUCAGCUCGUGUCGUGAGAUGUUGGGUUAAGUCCCGCAACGAGCGCAACCCUUGUCUUUAGUUGCCAUCAUUAAGUUGGGCACUCUAGAGA